UUAAAUCUAAAGGGUUUAAGAAAAUAUAUUUUUUUUUAUCAGUUACAAAGGAGCCAGCAACUUGAUAUGCAUCUCGUUUGAUAGUUGAUACGAUCUCCGUUAGGGCUGUUCAAAUAGCUCAGGGUUUUAUUAGUGACUUGAUCAAAGAAAUUUUUGUAUGAUUAUUGUAGAGAAAGAUAAUGCUCCAAGAACCGUAAAAUAUCUAAAACUUAUUAGUGGCCGGAACAUAUUGGAAACUAACAGAACAGUAGAUGAAUGCAGGAGUUGUUUGUGUGAUGUACCAAGUGGCGUUACAACCAUGCAUAUCGUUGUUAGUCAACCGCCUCAGGAAAAAGGCGUUCGAGUUACUGGUUAAAGCAUGACAAGUGUAUAAGUUUGUGGAGGGAAUAAUGAAACGUAUACAAGUAUGUUAAGGAUGAUAUUUUGAAACCGGACUGAUCAUUUGAACCUCGGUUCACUGGUUCAACCGAUUGGACUGGACUAAAAGGCAGGAUGAUUAUUUAUUGUUGUUGUAUCAUCUAUAAAGUUAUUUAGUUUACUUGGUUACCACUUACCUACAAGUAACCUGCCAGUAAUGAAUUUUUCUGUUUUCGAAAGCUAGUUAUAUUAAGAGAAAAUAUUAAAUAUUCACA